GCUGGGCAUGGUGGCACAUGCCUGUAAUCCCAGCCAUUUCAGAGGCUGAGACAGGAGGAUUGAUAGUUCAAGGCCAGCCUCAGCAACUUAAUGAGACCCUAAGCAACUUAGUGAGACCCUGUCUCAA
rnacentral:sRNA from 1 species